UGCUAUCGCUUUUGGAUGGACCCGCGGCGUAUUAGCUAGUUGGUGAGGUAAUGGCUCACCAAGGCGAUGAUACGUAGCCGAACUGAGAGGUUGAUCGGCCACAUUGGGACUGAGACACGGCCCAAACUAAUACGGGAGGCAGCAGUAGGGAAUCUUCCACAAUGGACGCAAGUCUGAUGGAGCAACGCCGCGUGAGUGAAGAAGGCUUUCGGGUCGUAAAACUCUGUUGUUGGAGAAGAAUGGUCGGCAGAGUAACUGUUGUCGGCGUGACGGUAUCCAACCAGAAAGCCACGGCUAACUACGUGCCAGCAGCCGCGGUAAUACGUAGGUGGCAAGCGUUAUCCGGAUUUAUUGGGCGUAAAGCGAGCGCAGGCGGUUUUUUAAGUCUGAUGUGAAAGCCCUCGG
rnacentral:rRNA from 1 species